UACGAAGGGGGCUAGCGUUUUUCGGAAUUACUGGGCGUAAAGCGCACGUAGGCGGGUUGUUAAGUCAGGGGUGAAAUCCCGGAGCUCAACUCCGGAACUGCCUUUGAUACUGGCAACCUAGAGACUGGAAGAGGUUAGUGGAAUUCCCAGUGUAGAGGUGAAAUUCGUAGAUAUUGGGAAGAACACCAGUGGCGAAGGCGGCUAACUGGUCCAGUACUGACGCUGAGGUGCGAAAGCGUGGGGAGCAAACAGG
rnacentral:rRNA from 1 species